rnacentral:rRNA from 1 species
UACGAAGGGGGCUAGCGUUGCUCGGAAUCACUGGGCGUAAAGCGCACGUAGGCGGAUUGUUAAGUCAGGGGUGAAAUCCUGGAGCUCAACUCCAGAACUGCCUUUGAUACUGGCGAUCUCGAGUCCGGGAGAGGUGAGUGGAACUGCGAGUGUAGAGGUGAAAUUCGUAGAUAUUCGCAAGAACACCAGUGGCGAAGGCGGCUCACUGGCCCGGUACUGACGCUGAGGUGCGAAAGCGUGGG